rnacentral:rRNA from 1 species
UCAAGUUAAUAAGAGCUUUGGGUGGAUACCUAGACAUUCAGAAGCGAUGAAGGGCGUGGUUACCGACGAAACACUUCGGGGAGCUGGAAACAAGCUUCGAUCCGGAGAUUCCCGAAUGAGGAAACUCUUAUACUCUUUUUUCGAAUAUAUAGAUCAAAGAGAGCGAACCUGGUGAAUUGAAACAUCUUAGUAACCAGAGGAAAAGAAAGCAAAAGCGAUUCUCUUAGUAGCGGCGAGCGAAAGGGGAACAGCCUGCAAGUGAUAGCAGAAGUGUUAGUGGAAUAGUCUGGAAAGUCUAGCGAUACAGGGUGAUAGCCCCGUACACGAAAACACAUCUGUGGUACUAAGCUUGCGAUAAGUAGGUCGGGACACGUGUUAUCUUGACUGAAGAUGGGGGGACCAUCCUCCAAGGCUAAAUACUACCAAUUGACCGAUAGUGAACCAGUACCGUGAGGGAAAGGCGAAAAGAACCCCUGUGAGGGGAGUGAAAUAGAUCCUGAAACCGUAUGCGUACAAGCAGUAGGAGCAGACUUGUUCUGUGACUGCGUACCUUUUGUAUAAUGGGUCAGCGACUUAAUGUCAGUAGCAAGGUUAACCGUAUAGGGGAGCCGUAGGGAAACCGAGUCUUAAUAGGGCGUCAUAGUUGCUGGCAUUAGACCCGAAACCGGGCGAUCUAUCCAUGGCCAGGUUGAAGAUGCCGUAACAGGCAUUGGAGGACCGAACCCACAAAUUUGAAAAAUUUGGGGAUGAGUUGUGGAUCGGAGUGAAAGGCUAAUCAAGCUCGGAGAUAGCUGGUUCUCCUCGAAAUCUAUUUAGGUAGAGCGUCGUGUCUAACCCUAGGGGGUAGAGCACUGUUUGGGCUAGGGGGUCAUCCCGACUUACCAACCCCAUGCAAACUC